rnacentral:rRNA from 1 species
AACGAACGCUGGCGGCAGGCUUAACACAUGCAAGUCGAACGCAUCCUUCGGGGUGAGUGGCAGACGGGUGAGUAACGCGUGGGAAUCUACCCAGUUCUGCGGAACAACAGUUGGAAACGACUGCUAAUACCGCAUACGCCCUACGGGGGAAAGAUUUAUCGGAAUUGGAUGAGCCCGCGUGGGAUUAGCUAGUUGGUGAGGUAAUGGCUCACCAAGGCGACGAUCCAUAGCUGGCCUGAGAGGAUGAUCAGCCACACUGGGACUGAGACACGGCCCAGACUCCUACGGGAGGCAGCAGUGGGGAAUAUUGGACAAUGGGCGCAAGCCUGAUCCAGCCAUGCCGCGUGAGUGAUGAAGGCCUUAGGGUUGUAAAGCUCUUUCAGUGGGGAAGAUAAUGACGGUACCCACAGAAGAAGCCCCGGCUAACUUCGUGCCAGCCGCCGCCGUAA